rnacentral:tRNA from 1 species
UCCCUGGUAGCUCAGUUGGUAAAGAAUCCGCCUGCAAUGCGGGAGACCCAGGUUCAAUUCCUGGGUAGGGAA